rnacentral:rRNA from 1 species
UACGUAGGGGGCUAGCGUUGUCCGGAAUCAUUGGGCGUAAAGAGCGCGUAGGCGGUCCGGUAAGUCCGCUGUGAAAGUCGGGGGCUCAACCCUCGAAUGCCGGUGGAUACUGUCGGGCUCGAGUCCGGAAGAGGCGAGUGGAAUUCCUGGUGUAGCGGUGAAAUGCGCAGAUAUCAGGAGGAACACCGAUGGCGAAGGCAGCUCGCUGGGACGUGACUGACGCUGAGACGCGAAAGCGUGGGGAGCGAACAGG